UUUCCCUCCUUCAGCCAAGAUCUUCUUGCGUCUCUCCGUGUUUAAUUUUUCUUUCUCCCUUUCCUCUCGUUUUGCAUGCUCUACUCAUUUUCCCCCCUGUUUUUCCCUUCUCAUAAGAAAGUGCUACUUCUUUUCCCUUUUUUUUUAAAAAAAAGAAGAAGAAGAGAAUGUUGUUUUUAUUGAGUGUUUUGAUUUAAAAUUGUUUGCUUUCCAUCUGGAAGGUUGAGAAGGGAUGCUCCAAUGGCUACCAAAAUGUAUGUCCUCAUCAGCUGGCCAGAUGGAAGCCGUGUUAUCAACAUUGAGAACAUCAAGGAACCCCGGAAGCCCUUCCACCUGUAUGCAGUUGGGGAACAGGUUUUGGCCCGAUGUCCAGGCUUCAGUGGUCUGUACUGGGGAGUUGUGGAAGGAAUAAGCGAGCAUAAAUGUAUCCUGGAGAAAAAGCUACAAGAAGAUAAAGAAAUCCUGGAUAGAUUAGAAGAGCAGCCAGCUGUGCAGAAUUUGGGGUCACCACAGCCAAGGAAGUCACGGAAGUCUUUUCCUAAAUGGAAUUCAGGCAACAGCUCGAGAAAUUGCCCCAGUGACGAAGCCAAGAUGACUGAAGAGGGUAGAGAGGCUGAUUGCCAACAUCAUCUUGCAUCCUUCUUGGACCCAAGAGAAGAAUGUGACAUGGGUAUCAUGAUGAGGUCUCAUCCGUCAAAGCCAAGGAUACCUCACAUGUCNAGUCCCUUUAAUGUGUCAUCUCACUUCCUAACAAUAUCCUCUUCUGGAACAUCCCAAAGAAGCACAACAAGACUCACUCCAGCUAUCAAAGAUUGCGCUGCCAUAGCAAAGAGGAAGAGAUUAGAUUAUCUCCCAGCCCAGUGUCAGAAACGCUUCGUUGUCAGCAGGGAAGAGAAAAUNGAGCAACUUGAGCGAAUGGUCUUCUCCCUUCGGCGAGAGGUCCUCUCCUUGAAGCAGAAAGUCCANCACCUUGAAGCUGGUUCCUUUAAGGACCAAGAGCCUUCCUGCCAACCUUGUGAAGUAUCUGAGUUGUUUAAUGGAUACACUAGGGAGGAACUCAAAGAGGCCAUUCGCUUUGACCAAAAGAUCAGCACUGCCUGCAAAACACUCCUCUACAAGCUUUUCACCUCUGACUAUAUACAAAGCCAUUCCAUCACUGGAAGACGGGGGAACACGUUCCGAGAGGCAAAGCCCAUGAUGGAUGAGAGGUGCAUCAAAAUAAUUAGGAUUUUGCUGAAGGAAAAAUUUGGGGACCAUCUCAGUGACACAGUCAUCACGGAGAAGAUCCAAAAUGUACAGAAAGCUCUCAGGCAGAAAUUUAAAAUGGAAUGUGCUUGAUCGUGACUCAUCCUAUUGCUGAAGACGUCGAAGUUGCAAACAGAAGAUGUCAGGCCUGGAAUUAGCCUGGGGCAAACUUCAAGAGACAGCAGAGGACAGAAGAGGUGGUGUGAUAUGGUCCAUAGGAUCACAAAAAGUCAAGCACAACUUAAUGACUCAACAACAACAACAACAACAACAAAUCAGUAGAGAGGAAGCAUACAAAGGAAACAGGGAGAAGAGAUGAACUACAAGGGAAAUGGUCCAAAUCAAACCAAUAGAGCUGAAGGAUUCAGAACAUACUUCAAAAAAUAAUUUAUAUACUAAGGCACUCCUGUUUGCCUAAUGCAUUUCAAGUAUAGCAAACUCUUCUGCAGAGACAGCUGGAGAACACUUCAGAAAGAUUAUUUAGCUGAAAAUAAUGCCAUGAGAUUUGAAGAGAGAUGUUUUUACACAUUGCAUCUUGAAAAUGACAUGGGAAUGUGUGGGUACUUUUCAUCUCUAGAGAACAUUAAUAAUGUGACCCUUAAUUUCAAAGGAUGCUGUGGCUUUUGUUGUGUUUUCUAUGCUUUGCAUUUUGGAACACAGAACAGUUUUUAAAUCAAUAACUAUGUUGUACAUAAAACACAAUAAGCAAGCUAAUGAACCUAUAAAUACUUGUUCUGCCCCUUGUGAAGUUCAGCUGCACUUAUUCUCUCUGGAACUGAAGUCCCUUGUCUUUUACUCUGUGUAGAAAGGGGGGGGGGUGUUGCAGUUUAUUUUCUUCCACUUGAAGCCCCAACCAAAGGUGUUUGGGAGCUACAGUGAGUGGCUGCUGGUAUGGGGCCUGGAGGACCNAAAGAGCAGGUCUCUGCAAUGCUGUGUAUGCAGUCCAAAUUCCNUGGCUGAGGAUAUGAAAUCAAUCUGGACGUCAGAUCACAUACAAUAUAUUUGGCCAGGGUUUGUUCAGCAUGUCAUUGAUGCGUUGGAUACCUGGUUUCACCAUGCUGAAACAGCCAUUAGAGAGUGACUUCAGAGUAGUUUGUCCUGCUCUUGCCAGAAGCUGCCAUAAUGGCUGUUGGGCUGGGAGACUGCCCAAUGGCAUGGGGGCAUUUUCCCAUCCAUCCCAAGUAGUGUUAGGGCUUCAUUCACACAUACUGAAGCAUGGAAGUGCCUCAAAAUUGCCUUAGGGUGCAAUCAAACAUGCUUAAAGAGGCACCCUCUGAGCGAAUUGAAGUUUCAUUUGGGGUUUCAUAGCUCUGAAGGUGUCUCUUUCUUUAAGCUGGGUUGGGCAGGAAACUACAUAAGCAAAGAGAUGAGGGUUUCCCAUUGAGCGCCCAAUCAGUGGGUAGCACCUGUAGUCAGGGUAGAUACUGCCUGAUGUGGAGGCAAAUUUAGACAGUAGUGUGGCAAAUUAAGGUAGGUUCUCAGCUGUAUAUUUGAACAACUGUACAGCCCUUCUUUUGUGAGUCUGGGAAUGGGAUGUUUUUUCUUAAAGGGAUGAUUGAAAAAAGCCCUGUCCACAGCCAAUGAACAAAAUAACCUUUCAACACCUGAAGCUCAUAGUCCAAAAUCACCACUUGAAGGCAAGGAUCAAAUGUAAAUACAGAAACUUCUGGCACUUUUCCAGGUGACAAAGAGAAGAAGGCAUCUGUUAGCUUUGGAGUCCAUGCAGAGUCUUGGUGUAGAGCAGGCCAUUCCAAUGUGGAUGCCUUGUUCCAUGCCAGGAGCAAUCCAUCCCAGCUUGAGAUAUACCACUUAUCCCAGUACAGUGCAGUCUGUCCUGUAUCAGAAUAGCAAUCCUAAGUACAGAAAUGCCCAAAAACAUUUAAUUUUAACUGCUUCCUCCAGAGUAGGCAAGUGUAGGUGAUNUGCACAAAGUUAUUUUUGUGGUUUGGUUCACAUCAAACCAAAGUGUGCCUGUGGACAGACUGGUUCAUAACAAACCUCAAGCCACCAAUUUCAUUUGAAAAGCAGGCUUGGUGGUUUGCAACCAAAUUUAUCAAACUCCACAUCCGGUUUUUGCCCUUCCUCCUUAGUUCCCCAUGCACAUGGACUACACUGAUUACCUUGCAGUCAGCCCUGAUUCUGUCACGGCUGACCCCAUCGUGUUCCCAACCUCACCCCCUUUUUCCCAGCAUGCAUCAUCUCCACCUAUUGCAUCAGUGGCUUCUCCCUAUUGUAUCCAUGCCCUCCUUUUCUUUUUUUGUCCUAUCUCCUAGGUAGCCCAGGUGCAUGAUUCUUCAGCAGUCCAACUGGCUGCUUUCCCAGCCUACUNGGUCUUCCAGAAUAGAGGACCAUGGUCCUCCCAGCAGGCCAAGCNUGACUNGAAUGAGAUUGGUUUCUCAUCUAUCCAUAGGUUGCAGGAAAACAGCCCACCUCUCACUCCGGCAGUGGACCCCCACACUCCCACCACAUGGCAGUGUGGACACCACCUUAGACUAAAUUUUAUUGAUUUGCUUAAAAAUGUUAGUGUGAAAAUUUCUCCCCCAUCUCCNCUUGAGCCUUCCCUCUAAAAGGUAUCCUUCACUUCCAAAACAUCUAGUGGGCAUCUAGUUAGAAAAAGGUGACCUAAGGUGCAAAGUUAUAUAUCACAGGCACAUGUCUAAUAGGUGGCUAGGAAACGCCAUUAAAAGCAUCCAACGAAAUAGUUGUUUUCCAUCCGUCAGUUUUGUGCUUAUCAGUGUUAAUGGUGCAUACUUUUGACUAAGCAUUUAAGCAAUUUCAUGCUAGCAGAACCGUGUUCAGCCUUCAGUCUCUUGACUACAAGAUAAAAGUAACAGAUGGCACAUUGGAAGGGUCUGCUUCUCUGUUUAGUGAUGUUUGCAUGUUUGAUAAUACACAGUGCCAUUAAUCAAAGACAUUUUUGCCAGAACAAGCAGUAAGUUUCAUUUCACAAUGUGAAAAAGUGGGGGGAUGGGGGAAGGACCUGACUGCAGCCAAGGAUCUGUCUGUAAUGCCUGGGAUUUAAAUCCAUAAAAUUCUGAUCUAUUUAAACCCUGUGUCAGUGUCGAUGUCAGUAAGCGAAGGGGAAAGAGAUAGAGGCGGUAUCUCCAUAUCCAGGGGGGGUAUGCAUGCUAGUGGCUGACUCCACAGAACCAUCUUUGCUGCCAUGUCACUUGGUGAUUCAUCAGGUCCACUUUGCACAGACACCACACAAUGUGGCAGGCGAAGCACUGCUUCGGAGAGUGUGAUUUUGCCCCCUCCUCCAGACAUUUUGAUUAGGUGCCACAUUCCAUGGGAUGUGCAUCGUGUCACCAAUAGAUAGAUAGAUAGAUAGAUAGAUAGAUAGAUAGAUAGAUAGAUGAGGUAUGCACAGACAGUGGAGGUGAGAACAAAACACAGCAUCUCCAGCAGGCCCAUGUAUUGGCCCCCAGUUAUCUUAAGGAAUGCCUUCCCCUAUAUAGACCUGCCCAAGCACUGAGAUCUCAAAGAGAGGGCCUUCUUGUAGUUCCUCCUCUCACAGAGGUGUAAGGGGUAAGGAUACACAAAAGGGCCUUUUCUGUGGUGGCUCCCAGAUUUUGGAACAGUCUACCUCUGGAGGUUCACCAGGUGCCUACAUUACAUGGUUUGGGGUGCCUGGUUAAAACAUACCUCUUCACCCAGGCCUUUGUUGUUUAGUGUAGUCCUGUCAGGGNGGGAGAGUGGGUUAUAUUUUAAAUAUAUUUUAGCAAUAAUCUAUGUGUUUUAUCUUUGUUAUUGUUGUGACCAGCCCUGGGACCUUAUGGUGGAGGGUGGGAUAUAAAUUCUUAAAUAAAAUAAAUAAAAUAAUUCUACCGAAGCA
ensembl:lncRNA